rnacentral:lncRNA from 1 species
CACUAUGCUUUACAUUAUGCGUACAUAUGUCGUGUACCAUAAAUACAGGGAAGUAGGUGGGAAAUAACAAUCACUAUUCCAGGUUAUAUUGAAAUAAUUUUAUAAAAACUAUUUUAGUGUUUGCCAUUGCUAAGCAAAAGGUGUGCUUUAAUUUAGGCAACAAACAUGCUUCUAAAACAUUUAAACAAGAAUCAUAUUCUGAAACAACCAUCUCUAUUGUUCAAAGGGUUGCUGCCUCCCCUAAGGGAACUAAAGUUAAACAAACAGAAAACUGGAUGUUUUUGAUGUAUAUCAACAUUACCCCAGGGACAAAAAUCCCAGGCAUUGGUGACCCAUUCAUUUUUUCUAUUCUUCAAUCCUCUUCCUCCCAUUUCUGGAAAAUAUUUCUUUCUACACUCUUGAAUUUGUUUUUGUUUUUUUUUUUUUAAUUUGUGUACCGACUUGGAAUUCCACCACAUAGACACAUGCUCAAAUGAAUUUAAGUAUUAUUUUGAAAGUAAAAUACUCAUUGAAAGGAUGACAGUAUUCGAAAUUAUUCCUUACUGCAAAUUAGCUGAUUCAAAUAGUUGUUUUUGACGCAUGGCUGGGACUGUCUGCACUGAGAGAACAGGGUUUGGAGUGAAGAAAGGAAUCAUUCAUGAGAACCAUCAUGGUGCGGCAAAAGCUGGGCAGGUUCCACAGAGAAGGCCAUGGAUGGGACCUGGCUAAAGGAUGAGGUGGAAGGAGUAGAAGUACAGAUGAAAAAUUAGCAACUAGCAAAGAUUGUAACUGUCUGGGGCCAUGAGUGUAAGUGAACUGACUUUUCUCAUUCCUCUCUCUGCAGCACCAGUCUCCUGCUGUGGGCACCCCAAUUUCAGGCCAGUGUAAUUGCUACCAUUUUUCAGCCACAGUGGGGCUUAAUAGGCCUUUGUGGGAUAAUCUGAGUUCUAACUACUGUUUAUUUGAUAAAAAUAUAGGCUGAACCCCAAACCACCAAUUUACAGACUUUAGUCAUGGGUAUCAACAGAGGAAUGACUUGCAGAAUCUUUGCCUUGAAUGACAUGCAGGAACUUUCCGUCUUCCAUCCAGAUUGACAUCCUGAUGCAAGGUGUCUCUUUUCUUCAAACCUCAGAUGUUCUCUACACAGGUAUAGACAGUAGAAAUAUUUAUUAAACAAAUUCUGUGAUGAAAAAUGCUAUUCCUCUCAUUUGAAUACUACCUCCUCAAGGUAGCUGUGUGAAAGACAAAACUGAUUAUUUUUAGAAAUGGCUGUAUUUUAAGGCAGUUACUGUAGGACGAUGGAAUUCUUAGGUGGAGAAUAAACUCUUUUGAUGGAGAAAAUUUCCCAGUGGUUUUAAGAUAAGCACCACCCCCCUCAAGCCCCAACUAUGCCUCGUAAAGUCUGUAGGAGAUAGUGUGGAACAGGGAACAAAGAGAGAGCCAACUUUCUUCCUAGUAGGAAGUAACAAGAACUUGGGUGUUGGAUGCUGGCCACUUGGGUAGGGUGGUGGGAAAAAGAUAAGACAGGAGAAGGAUCUCUGUAGAGACUAGAAGACUUGCACUUUGACAGAAUUUAGAACUUAAGGAGAUAAAUGGCUUAUGAGAAACUCCAGACUGUGGUGGUUGUGGAAUAUCAGUAGUAUGAUGUCUAAAAUCUAAUCAUAAGUUUUUUCCUUUCCCCUUACUCAUACUCAGAGCUAAGUAAAAAGGGGCUAUAUGCAGGGGCCGUAGAUGGACCAAGAGAAGGCUUGUGUAGAGGUUCUUUGGGAAAGGUCAGGGAAAGGACAGGGGAAACAGAGUGAAACAAGGAUGGCCGUUGGGGGAGAUGAGUCAGGAGGAGAAAUUUGGAACAAAUAGUAAUCAGAAAACAAGUUCCUCGGAAAUCCUUUAACAAUGUGAAGGCCCUGAUAGUCCCUAGCAUAUGGGAUAAGGGCUUGAACUGUUUUCUUUGGGACAUUAAAAGAAAUUUAACCCCAGGAGGCUGGAAGACUAGGAAAAACAAAUUAUAAAUGUAAAUUUUACUUUCAUGUAUUGAGUUUUCAACAUUAAAAACUUGCAUCUUGAUGAUAAAGUUCCUAUUUUCCAUUAAUUUAUUUUGGUGCCUCUUUUCUAAAUGAGAUUUUCUGAAUUCUUUGACUUUCAAAAUACAGGCUGAAUGAAUUAUUUCUCUGCAGUCAGUAUGGGGGCCUUCUUGCCAUUUGUAUGCCAUUCCCUCCACCCUGAUAUAGUGAGACCCUUUAUGUCUGUGUAUUUAACUCUACAUCCAGCACCUUAUGCUGGGCAGGAAAUGUGUGCUGGGAAGCAGCCUAGGCUAGUGGUAGAUGGCACAGACGCUGGAACCAAACAGUUCAAGUUCCUUUUGUCUCCUCCACUUAUAAACUAUACAUCCUAGGUAAGUUACUUAAACUUUCUGUGCCUUGAAAUGUCCCCAUUUAAAGGAGGAUCAUAAUAGCAUCUAUAGAGUCUGAGGAUUCUAUGAGUUGCAAAUGUAAAGGACUCAGAAGGAUGUCUGACAUUCAGUAAAUAUUAACUUACUAUCAUCACAAAAUAAAAGUUUUAUGGAAAUAUUUAUUGAGUGGCUAAGAACAGGAUCUAUUGCUGAGUUCCAAGAAUUAUUUUCUGUCUUUAUGGAAACUAAAACUGUGCAUCUAGGUGGAUCCACAAAUAAAUUAUUUUGACUGAGAGAUUCCUGAAGUUGGGAACCACAUCUUCCCUAGGCUGUUAUGACAGGACUCAGUGCUUCUGUGCAAAGGAAGGAGAGUACCACUUUGUGUGCAAAGGAAGGAGAGUACCACUUUGUGAUGGUCAAAGUAGCUUCAGUUUGGUUUUGAUCUUGUGGAGUGUGCAGAGAAAUUACAUUAUUUAUCAUAAUCCAGACCAUUAGAGAAGUAUGGAGGAGAACAAUACUGUCCUCAGAUAGUAAGAAAGCCCAUUUUAAAAUACUGUUUCUAUGUUUGUGGGUAGUAUAGCCUAAUAUGCCAAAUUCAAGACAGUCAGAACUUGGGGAAAAAUGGAAUAUAAAGGCAUGACAUUGAAAAAAGAUAUGUCUGGAUUCAAGAUAGAUUUUGGUAUUUACUAAUUCUGAGUCCUUGUGCAUAAUCACCCAUCUAUCUAUCACCUGACUCAGGAUUUAUUUAUUAAUUUAUUUGUUUGUUUUUUGCUUUUUAGGGCAGCAUAUGGAAAUUCCCAGGCUAGGGGUUGCAUUGGAGCUACAGCGGCAGCCUACACCACAGUCAUAGCAACACCAGAUCUGAACCACAUCUGUGAUCUACACCACAGCUCACGGCAACUUCAGAUCCCUGACCCAAUGAGCGAGGCCAAGAUCAAAUUCGCAUCCACAUGGAUACUAGUCAGAUUCAUUUCUGCUGUGCCACAAAGGGAACUCCCUGAUUCAGAAAUGAUAUAGAAGCAACUUACAAACUGAUAUUUAAAAGAUGUAGUCAACGUCAAAGACAAAGGAUAAAAUUGGAAAAAGUAGUUGGGUCAUAUAUGACAUAAAAAUAGCUCUUAUCAUUGACAAUUGACAUUCUGACAAAUUGGAGUUCCCGUUGUGGCGCAGAGGAAAUGAAUCCGACUAGCAACCAUAAGGUUGAAGAUUUGAUCCCAGGCCUUGCUCAGUGGGUUAAGAAUCCAGCGUUGCUGUGAGCUGUGGUGUAGGUUGUAGAUGUGGCAGGGACCUGGCCUUGCUGUGGCUGUGGUGUAGACCUGCAGUUAUAGCUCCAGUUAGACCCCUAGGCUGGGAACCUCCAUAUGCCUCAGGUGUGGCCCUAAAAAGCAAAAAAAAAAAAAACCCACAAAACAUUCUGACAAAUUAGUAAGAGAAUGAACAACCCAAAGGGAAUAGACAAAGGACAUGAAUAAUCAAUGAAGGAAGAAAUAACAUGUGAAAUGAUAUCUAAUCUCAAUAAUAGCCAAAGAAAUAGAAACUAAGGCAAAAGUGAAAUUUGAAAUUUUCUUUAUUAAAUUGGUACUGAUUUUAUUUACUUUUUUCAGAGUAAGCUAUUUCAUUUUUCCUUAUGUAUAUAUAAUAUAUAUAAUUAUUAAAGUGUAGUUGAUAUACAGUGUUGUACCAGUUUCUGCUGUACUGUGUAGUGACACACACACACACACACACACAUACACAUUAUCUUUUCUCAUAUUAUCUUCCAUCAUGGUCUGUCUAUCCCAAGAGAUUGUAUAUAGUUCCCUGUGUUGUACAGAGGACCUCAUUGCUUAUCCAUUCUAAAGGUAAUAACUUUGCACCUAUCAACCCCAGACUCCAUAUCCAUCCCACUCCCUCCCCUCUCCCGCUUUACAACCACAAGUCUGUUCUCUCUGUUUGUCUGUUUGUGUUUUGUAGAUAGGUCCAUUUGUGUCAUGCUUUUUACUAUGCUAUACACUGGGUGAGGGCCCAGAAAAUAACUAUACAAGGGUGCUUGUAAGAAAAUCAUAAAUAAAAAGGUCAUAAGCCAUCUACCUGAAUAAAUUCUGCAUCCAAUUUGGCCAACAUUUUUGAAUACUUCUUGGGUACGGAGAGUAGGUCAUCCACUGUGCUCUGGGUGCCUACCAUCGCUGCAGGAGACCCACACACAGGACCCAAUCACCCAUACGAGGCAGAAUAAAACAAGUGCUAUGAAAACAGAAGAAAUAAAAAAUUCUCACUGACUCAGAAAUCUGAGUAAACUUCUAUCUUAAGUGCUUAAUUCUUCGGUCACUCAUGCGCUUUGUCACAGUGGACGUGUGACAAAGGGAGGUUUGGAUGUCAGUCUUCCAUCUGUACAUAUAAGCCCCAUUCCCCCAAAAAUUGCAUGAGAUAGGCUGCAUUGUCUCUUGGUGCCAUGUCUGGAGCCAGCUCGUGGUAGAGUCUAGACAAGAGGCCCUCCUUUGAGAACCCCUUGGACUCAGGGCGCCCACAUCCCUCUGAGUGGUGUUCAAAGCUGGAUAAUGAAGGUAUAUACAGCCUGCCAGUCCAAGGGUCCCCAUCAACCAGUGUGGUAAAGAGCUCUUCCUCUGACCCCUCCUCUAUGUCUAUGUGCCCUGGUGGCAGGUGCUCCAAGUCUCUGAGCUGAGGGGUGUAUGAAUGCAGCUGUGUUUGUGGAUCCAAGUUGGCCAAAGGUGCCUGUUGCUCAAAUAACUUUCCUUAUUGGGAUGCCUUCUCCUGUGGAUUGGACUCCUGAUCUCCAGGCCCCAUGGAAAUGUCAUUAGUUCUCACAUCGUAUUCAUAUCUGGGGGCAUUGUUCUGCUGGGUGGAUCCUGCUGCGUUAGUUAGGGAAGUCUCUCUGGUGCUUUUCUCAGAGUCACACAUGAUGUCCAUCAAAUAUGAAGCAUACCCCACGUGUCUCACCUCCAUUUCUUCCCAGGGGGACUCCUGGUCCUCACUGGGCUCAUUCAGGUCCCACACAUCAUCGGUGUUUUCUAUCAUGCUUGUAUCCUUCUGCGAAGAUUUAGACUCCUCAAAAAUAUUGAGGGUGGUAAAGUUCAUCACAAUUUUUUCAGCAAGUACAAAGAAUCUUCUGUCAAAUUCACUUCCAUAAAUCAAAAUCAAAUUUGCUGGGUGUUUCUCUUUGCCAACAUGGGUAUAUCUGUACAUGAAAAAGCCUGUCCACAGAAAAAAUAAACAUGGUAACAGAUAUGGGCAAAACAUACCAGAUUUUAGCCUUCAACUUUGAUGUUUGAUCUUUCAAAAUGCUGACACACUGCUUUUCAGAAGGCUGAGUGAGGCGAGGAGGGGCUGGGACCAAGGACUCUGCAAGAACGCAAUGCACAGUGUCUGGCUCCAGCCAGCUGAGCACCAGCGUGUGGUUAGUCACACACUGGGACCACGUUCAAGUAUAGGCACUGAUUUUUUAAAAAUGAGGAAAACUAAUGACAUUCCCAGCUAACAAGAAGAAACAGAAAAACAAGCAGUCUUCUAAACUGCUUGUGCAAAUAAAAAUUAUUGCAACUUUAUUGGGAGAUGAUUUGGCAACAUUUAUCAAAUAUCUUAAAAAUGUGCAUGCCAUUUGAACCCAGAAUUCCACUCCUAGGAAUUUCUUCUAGAGAGAUAACAGGACUAAUACACAAAGCAAAUCACACUAAAAUGUUCCCUGCAAAACUAAUUUCCAAAUUAAAAAUUGGAAGUGAUGGGCACUCCCACUGUGGCAAAAUGGAAUUGGCAGAGUCCUAGGAGCACUGGGAUGUGGGUUCCACCCCUGGCUUGGCCCACUGGGUUAAGAAUCUGGUGUUGCUGUUGCCACAGCUGCGGCUUACUUCACGCUGUGCCUCAGAUCUGAUACCUGGCUCUGGAGCUCCAUAUGCCAUGGGG